GGACUUCAGUCGAGCUUCUAUAAUAAGCGGUCCCCAUCCGAGCUUCCACGGUAACUGGUCUCCAUCCGAGCUUCUACAGUAAGUGGCCUCUUUCCAGACUCCUACAAGAACCAGACUCCGUCCGAACUUCUACAACAGAAUUGGAUUCCAGACGAACUUCUACAACGGAUGGGCUCCAGCAGCCAAAUUUCUAUAGUGACCGACUGUCUCUGGUGUCUUUCGUACCUCUCCAGCC
rnacentral:lncRNA from 1 species